rnacentral:rRNA from 1 species
GACGAACGCUGGCGGCGUGCUUAACACAUGCAAGUCGAACGCAGUGGCGAACGGGUGAGUAACGCGUAAUCAACCUGCCCUUCAGAGGGGAACAACAGUUGGAAACGACUGCUACUACCGCAUACUGAAGGAGGGGCUUGCGUCUGAUUAGCUAGUUGGAGGGGUAACGGCCCACCAAGGCGAUGAUCAGUAGCCGGGCUGAGAGGAUGAACGGCCACAGUGGGACGGGGAAACGGCCCAGAAGCCUACGGGAGGCAGCAGUGGGGAAUCUUCCGCAAUGGAGGAGAGUCUGACGGAGCAACGCAGCGUGAGUGAUGACGGCCUUCGGGUUGUAGAGCUCUGUUAAUCGGGACGCGGUACCGGAAUAGAAAGCCACGGCUAACUACGUGCCAGCAGCCGCGGUAAUAC